UACGGGGGGGGCAAGCGGUUGUUCGGAAUUACUGGGCGUAAAGGGCUCGUAGGCGGCCAACUAAGUCAGAUGUGAAAUCCCCAGGCUUAACCUGGGAACUGCAUCUGAUACUGGAUGGCUUGAAUCCGGGAGAGGGAUGCAGAAUUCCAGGUGUAGCGGUGAAAUGCGUAGAUAUCUGGAGGAAUACCGGUGGCGAAGGCGGCAUCCUGGACCGGCAUUGACGCUGAGGAGCGAAAGCUAGGGGAGCAAACGGG
rnacentral:rRNA from 1 species